GCUCCCACUUAGCCAGGGCCUCUCAGCAGGUAGCAGCUGUGGCCGGCUGAGCCCUCUCCAGACCAGCCAACCCCAGGUCCUGUCCUCAGUGGGGUCCUCUGCGUCCAAAUCCAAGACAGGUGCUGGGAAGGGUGUGCACAGCAUCACGGGAUGUGGAGGAAGCUUAUGUGAGGCAUGGGGGACAGAGUUGCCACAUCGUCUACUCACACCUGAUUUUUCUGGAGUCUGGGCACACAUUGUCCCUCUUAUGCAGUUUAAUGAUGGCUGAGACUUGCUGAGAGCUUCACCAUGGGCUUACCACAGCCCUCUGACAUGGGUGGCUUAGAAUUUCCAUCUUCCAGAUGAGACAGAAAUGGAAGACCAGAGAGAAUCAUGCCUUGUUCCAAAGGUCAGCUGCUGAGCCAGAAUGCAAAACCAGGAGGUCUGGUUCUCUGCGGACCUUUCCAUCAGGAGCAGGGCUUCUCCCUGGAAGCCAGAACGUAAAGGAGGCCAAAGCCUGAUGUUCAGCUGAACCCAGCCAUACCUGACCUGAAGGCCAACAGAGGACACUGACCCUGGGCCUGAGUGGACUCUGUGAAGUCCUAUGUGUGAAGGAACAAAAGUCCUGACCAAAGGCAGGCAUGCAGGAAUGCUGGUGCUCUCGGACAUGCUGUUUACAGGACACUUGGACCGGCCUGCAAAAGACAGGAUGAGAGUUCAGGGCCAGGGGCUCAGUUUAGUGCUCCACGGCAGGGCAGGUCCAGGCAGCAUUGUGAAAUAAGCAACAUCUGUCCCAGGAGCUUCUUCAGGCCCUGACUCCAGAGGCCUCUCUCCCAGGAGACAAAGUAGGAUUCUAGGGAAUGGACAGGAGGACAGGGGAAUUUUGAGAGCCAUUUAUAAAGUAGACCUGGACACAGGAUGUCAAAGAGUCUGGAUUUUUAAAGUAAAGCUGGAAGAGUUCACUACAGGUAGAAGAGUUCACUGCCAGAAGCGGACUCAAUUCCAGAUAUGAAUUUGGAGACCAUCUGCACAUGCAAAACAGAAAUGCAGCGCCCAGAAGAGGAGCUCCCUCUGCAAAACCUGAGACAAGAGGAAGUCAUGCUCCCAGCUCUUCCUGAAUGAAGACACCACUAAAGUUGGAGUGAUUUGGUCAUUUGCUCCUAUCCUUACAGACUUCCAGGUUGGAUAGUGAAUUAGGCAAGUGAUUAAGCUCUCAGUGCCUCAGUUUUUGCAUCUAGAAAUUGGGAAUCACAAUGCCUCCUUCAUAGAGUUAUUGUGAGAUCAAAAUUAGGAACUAAAGUCAGUCACCUUGUGCAGAACCCAGCACGUUAUUAGCCUCUUUCUUUCUUUUUUUUUUUUUUUUUACCUGUGAUUUGCUCUUUAUCUUCUCCCUCUGAGUCUCUUUGAGUCCUCCUAAGCUCAGCCCCUCAAGUCCCACCAUAUCAAGGAUCCCUUCAAGUGUGCUGACUGCUAGAUCUUAGACAAUACACCCUAGAGGAUACAGCAGACAGGUCCUGGCAGUGUUUUGCUCUGUAUGUCAGUUACCUGUGCCCUCCUUCUAGUCACUUGUGCAUUCUUGAGGACCAGGCUGGUCUGGUAUUAAUUCUGGUCUAUAGACUAAGGGAAUAAUCUUAAUUAUUAAAAUAAAAUGGGCAUAAGAAAUCAAGAUGGGGCUUGAAUCUCUGGCUACUUAGGGUCUGCAUGAUGUCGGGCAAGUUACUUAUCUGGGCUCCAUUUCCCCAGGCUCUGUUUUCUCUCUAGUAAUAGGAAGACAAGUACCUCCCCUGUCAUUAUGAAGACUACUGGCUUUACUAUUAAAGUGCUGGCUCUGUUGGACACUGAUUGAUGGUAAUGAGUACUAUCAUUGUUGCAGAACUCCCAGCACAGACAACAUUUUUCAUGCACAUUCAGGGGACAAAGGAAGCAUCUCUGUGUGCCUUCAUUAUGUCCCUCCUUUGCUAUUGUUCCCUUUAGCAAAACACACCCUUAAGAGACCAUCUAGCACAGCACUUCAUUUUACAGGUUAUAAAAACUGAGCCUACCCAGUGAACAUAACGGGUAGACUGCUCAGCAGGGCAGAAGACACUGGGACCUAGGACUUGAGGCUCAAUGACCUGAGCUGUCCCAACCACCUUAUGACACACUUUCCUGGAAAGUGCAAUUCAUAUUUUCUUCCAAGUUUAUUUCAGAAUUUUACUUCUCAUUGCUUUCUUUCAUUGAGAGAAGUCAAGACUCCAGAUCAUCAGAUGGACACACAGAGGACUGGCUAAGCAUGAGCACACAGACCGAGAGGACUGGGCAAGCUGAGCAGAGUCCAGUGUUCCCGGGGCCAAAGCAAACAGAACGCUGAUCUCUCUGCUGCCCCCAGAGCCAAUGCCAGUGUUUAAUGUCCCUGCUCCUCAUGGAAAGAGAAGAACAAAGUCUACCUGGUUUCUCAGCUGUCCAAAGUAACCCUUUGGCCUCUGCAGAUUUACAGGUUUACAAACAAUGUCAACUGUUGGUUUCUGCAGUUGAAUGAUCUUACCCUUUUACUUGUUCUAAGUAUUGCUCAUUUAUGUAAAUAUAUCCAGCUUGUCUAUAGGUGUCAUUGACAAGACUUACCAGCUCCACAGGGAGCAACUGCCCCCAAACAAUUAACAAACCCCCAUCCCUAUCUUUCUUCUCCCUGGGAAAGGAAGUGAGAGAUCUCAGAAUGCAAAACUGUGUGUGUGUGUGUGUGUGUGUGUGUGUGUGUGUGUGUGUUAUUAAAGUGAGAGUCCCUAGCUUUUAUUAAUCCUUAGUGGGGCCCAUUGGUACUGUAAAUAUGUUGAAAUCUCUGGCCAUCUUUCCAUGUUCUUAGAAUUGGGAGGAAGUAGAGUUGAGGUACUUGACAGCAAUCUCCCAGUGCCAGUGAAAGACCCCCGUGGACCCAAACCUUCCGCUCUAGGUAACUUAGGACUGCAGGUUUGGCCCUCCUGGUGGAGGAAACUGGUAGCCAAAACUCAAGCUCUUUAGAGCCAACCGUAACUAAGCCUCUGAGCAAUAAAGCCUGAGGAUUUUAUAGCAGGUAAAACUUUAGAGGAGAAUCUUCCAGAAGCCCCAGCAUAAAGGAUAGGCAUGUCCAUGGCUUCCUGGGGGCAUACUGCAAGGAGCCUAUGCAGGACCAGAUGUGAAAAUGUCAUUCCCACAAGGAGUGAGACCUCAGCCUCUAGCUACUCCUGGGGGAGAAGCUCCCUGAUCCACCGACCCUUCCUGCUGCCUCUCUCUGGGGACUGUAUUCUGGACGGAAGAGAGGGACUGUCCCCACAGGCUUGACUGAGUUCUUUGGGCCUGACAGUUAAUAACUGAGAGAGAAAACUGGCAGCUCAUUGAAUAGACAAGCAUCUUGAGUCUGGAGGAGCUGGGGGCACUUUCUGUGAGGCUUAUUUUGGAGCCAUCGUUUCCUUCCAUUCCACCAGGGAAACCAGUUGGAAACUCCAUCUCCUCAAAGCUAAAGAUGCCCAUUUUUUUCUGAGUUGUAAUCCAGUUUUCUGGCCUUUUUCAGGCGAA